AGUCUGGAAUGCAUCAUAAGCUAAAGGCUUUGUCAUUUAGGCUUUAAAGGCAGUUUCUUCAGUAAGGAUCAGUAAUAUUUUGUUUGAAAAUCAGGGUAAAUGAACUAGAGUGGGAGAAGAAUGCAUUUGCUUUUGUUUCCAUCCAGGUCUGCGGUUGCUACUGUGCCUGCUUUGUUUUGGUCUAAUAGUAAUUUGUUUCAUUUUAACCUUGUGUGGAGUUCUUGUUCCAAACUGCACCAAAUAUUGUGAAAUACCAAAGCAACGGGAAGUGCAAAUAAUGAAAUUGGGAACUUGGGAGGAUGGCCAAGACAUGACCAGAGUCUCCACAAGUAAAGGAUGAGGAACUUGCCCUGAAAACUUGCUUCAGGAUGAGGUUUCUGUGGAGACUUGAACACUUUUUGGUUGUGCUUGAAUAGGAAAUGCCUUGAGAACAGCUUUUCCUGUGGUCUUAUCUCAGGCUGAAGUACAACGAUCCAGAACCUGUUUUAAAAUCUUUAACUGAACUUUAAAAACCUCAGCACAAGAAAAGUGGGUUUGGUUCAAGUGCUGAGAACAGGCUCAGACCAGCUUUCACUACCCAUAGCCAUCUGCCUAGUUCUAUAUAUUACAGAGGAUUUUUUCAAGUGAUAUAAAUGAGAACAGCCUAUAAGUUAAAUAUGAAGAGAAAACUUCUUAACUUUUAAGACUUUCUCUUCCCACUUUAAUCUUCCACUUAAUGAUGGCUGAAAAAAAGAAAAAUAUUAAUAAUAGCUGUGUCUUUUAAAUCAGAUCAAUGUGUUCAUGUUAUAGUCAGGUUUCUAAGGCUACAUAACAGCUGUCCAUACAUGAAUAUAUCCCAUGCUGCCAUGGCAUUCCUAAUCAAGUUUUUCCUUUCCUAAUCAUGUACUUCCCACAGCUUUUUCACUGCAUGGUCCUAUACAUGUAUGUAAAAAAUGUAUGGCAGUUAAAGCAAUACAUGUUGUUCUGAGGGGUUUUUUUGGUUCAAAUUAUUGAAAAGGACAGAAGUCGUCAGUUGUGCAAAUAUAAAGAAUAUCUCUUCAUAUUAACCUAAGAUUUCAAUAUGUAGUAAUUGAAAAAUUACACCUUCAAAAACUUAAAAUAUUGAAUAACUUGUAUGUUUUCCUCAUUUUUAAGAAAGAGAGAUUUUGGUAUUCAGUCCUUCUGUAAAGCAUGUCUCAGAGUUGGCUUUCGCCUGAGUGGUGGUGGUGUAAUUAUUCUCUAGGGGGGAAAUGCCUUGAGUCAAUAUAUGAAAGGAAUGGAAUAGACAUUAUGCAACUUCUAUGCUUUUUGUGAGGCCUCAUUUUUGUGAACUUUUCUUGUUUUGGUCUUCUGGCUGGAUAAAUACAAGCUGAGUGAAUCCUGAUGUCAUGGAAGCUCUUAAAACUUGCUUUGCCUCAACAGUUACAAGCAAAGCUUUUUCUCUCGAUCCUGUUCGGUUGCAGGAGUUGAUAUUUUCUUUCAUGUUGUUUUUUCCCCACUGUUGGAAGAUGAAACAGAACUCCUCAAUGACUCAAACCUUUGCACCUUGUAGAAUAGCACUUCUAAAGAUAGAGCUGACCUAAGAAUUGAGAUCCAAUCUCAAUUUUAAAUACCUUUUCCCACCUACUACUCUUUCCAGCUCCACACCUAAAUCUGGAGUGAUUAUUCUAGCAAUUUGAAUCAGCUCCCUUACAGAGAGAGAGAGAUUUUAAUCUAAUUGAAAAUUGGUUCAAAACAUGGAUGAACACCAUUUAAAUCUUUAGAAUUCAGGGAGCAUAAGAGUAAAGCUGGCUGCAAGCAAAAUACAAAGGCAAGUAGUCCGGACCCCAUCCAGAUCCAGCAAGUCUCCAUUUCUAGCAUCUGUAAGUGCUUGGAUCUGUUGGGUUUGGAUGAGGUUUGUCUCUGUCAGUGCUAAAUCAAAAAAUUGUUGCCUAUAUUGGCUUCAGCUCAAAUACCUCCCAGUCUUCUGCUUUUAAAGAGGGGAGAGUCCCCCUUUGGCCAGCCUUGUGUGCACCGCUGAGUUCUGCUGGAUCUCUGUGUGUGCACAAGCAGUACCUGAUUAUUGUUGGAGAGCUGAGGAGAAGGCCAGAAGAAAAAUUCCACCCUCCAUGCCCUUCUCCUCCUCUCUCCCUGUCCCAGAGCUCCACUUUUGUGGUCCUCAACACCAGUGCAGAGGGUUCUGUUCCUGGAAAGGAAGCGGGGUACCUCAACUUCCCUAAAGGACCAUUAGAAAACUGUAAUUUCAAAAUGAGUUUCCUGUCCAAGGAAGAGGGCUUAGCACUUACAAGAACAGUUCUCCACUGUACAAGGCAGACAUUUCAGUUUUAUGAGGAACAAAUAAAACAUUCCUCUGUGCUUUACAGGCAUAACACUUUCUUAGACUCUUUAGUUACAAAAUGACCUGUCUGCAUAGUUAUGCUGAUCAGUCGCAGAGAAUAACACGGCCAAACUGUUUAGCAGUGCCUGAUGCAGUAAAGGAGCAGAGGUGGGGGAAGCAGAGGCAAACCAAAGUAGUCUGCUGCUUGCAGCAAAUCCUUCCCAUGCUUUUUAGCCAUUAAUAAUGUCUGAGAUACAAACAAAACAACUCCUGAUGUAGAGAGGUGGAGAUAGAGAGUCCUCCUGAGGUCAGUGGGGAUGCACAGGGUGUACCCGCUUGUCUGUUGGAACGUGAAUCAGGUCUUCUGUCACACGUGGUUGUGUGCAGUGCUGAAUGCAAGCUAAACCACACGUGCAAGCUGUGGCUUCUGAGAAGUAUGUGAAAAGGAUUAUGCAAGCUUAAUUCAGUUCUUUGGAGGUGUGGAAAGCAUGGUCAAGUUGACCUUACCCUGCUAAUCCUGCUUUAAAAAGAAAUUAAAGCAAUUGUCAGAAUGAAAUGUUGAGUAUUGGGAGGGUUUGGACUUAAUAUUCUAUCUCAUCCUGUAAUAAAGUUAAUUGUGCUCUUUGAAGAACAUAAAACUAGUGAAAGCCUACCAAAAUCCUUGAUCAAGUUUAAGUGUAGAACAUCCAGAAGCAGCUGUCAUAACUAGCUUAUUAUGGGGUUUAGGAUGAAAAAUAAUUGGGGAAUCAUAUUAAACUUGGGCUAAUGAGAAGCCAUAGUCUGUGCUAUAUAGUAUUAAGAUUUACUAUGUGUAAUGGUAAAGGUAUGUGGUCAUGUGGCCUUUGAUUUUUAGUCUUUUUCAUUUCCAGAUUAAUGUCUUAUUUCAGUUCCAUUUGCCUCUACCACAAGCUUAUGGGAGAGCUUUCAUGGUACAGUCAGUUGUUAAAGGUGAAAUCAAUCUCAUAGCUUAUUCGAAUGUGAAAUUUUAAUAUAUUAGUGUGUAAUAGAUGUAAAAAAGAAGGGUUUGGGUUUUUUCUCCCUUUUUCUUCAAACACCACCAGGUUUGCAAGAGGAAAUGCACCAAAAGCAAUAGUGGAACACAGUCUGUACAGAAGGAGAUGAAAGGUUAGGUAUAAUGGAGACAGCAGUAGCACAUAAUUGCAGUCGGAUAAACAUGUUAUGUCACUUCUUGAAUUGUUCCCUGGCUUGUAAUUAAUAGCAUUCUUUGCCUAAGGCUUGUUGAGUAGAAGACAGAUAAGUUAGCAGGUAAUGCCGCAGCCUUUUGCUUCAUAGAUCCUUGCAGGGGAACAAGUUAAUCUUUCCUAAUUCUAAUAAAAGCCAUCCUAUGCCGAGCUGUUAAAUGUGUUUUGUCAGAACUGGAGAUUUCUUCUAAGGGAUAAUUUACUAGCAGCAAACAAACAUGAUUCAUCAAUUACUUCUUCUGGACAGAAAGUUCUUCUCAGAGGAAAAAACAAAAUCAUUGUAGUGUAGCAGCAGAGUUUGUAUUUUUAGUGUCCUAACUUGGAUGUGUGUUUGUAUGCUUCCAUAAUGCUAAAAUGAGAAACUGGGAACAGCAUCUUUUCCAGUGAUAAAAAAGUAGAAGUGAUGCAAGCCAGAACUCACGUUUAUGACAGGUUUGAGGAGAAAAAACCUAUAGCAUUUGUACAUCUAGAACUCUGUCACCUGACAGGAGAGGGAUCCUGGGAGAUGAACACAGAGUAGCCUUGAGAACAACACUGUGAAGUCAAGAAUUUAGGGGAACUGCUUUAAAAGGACAAAAAAGUAAAUACAACUUAGAACACAGGACUUGGAAUGUGCAUUCACCCUUCAGGGAUUAGGCAUACAAAAAG